rnacentral:rRNA from 1 species
AGAGUUUGAUCAUGGCUCAGAUUGAACGCUGGCGGCAGGCCUAACACAUGCAAGUCGAGCGGUAGAGAGGUGCUUGCACCUCUUGAGAGCGGCGGACGGGUGAGUAAAGCCUAGGAAUCUGCCUGGUAGUGGGGGAUAACGCUCGGAAACGGACGCUAAUACCGCAUACGUCCUACGGGAGAAAGCAGGGGACCUUCGGGCCUUGCGCUAUCAGAUGAGCCUAGGUCGGAUUAGCUAGUUGGUGAGGUAAUGGCUCACCAAGGCGACGAUCCGUAACUGGUCUGAGAGGAUGAUCAGUCACACUGGAACUGAGACACGGUCCAGACUCCUACGGGAGGCAGCAGUGGGGAAUAUUGGACAAUGGGCGAAAGCCUGAUCCAGCCAUGCCGCGUGUGUGAAGAAGGUCUUCGGAUUGUAAAGCACUUUAAGUUGGGAGGAAGGGCAUUAACCUAAUACGUUAGUGUUUUGACGUUACCGACAGAAUAAGCACCGGCUAACUCUGUGCCAGCAGCCGCGGUAAUACAGAGGGUGCAAGCGUUAAUCGGAAUUACUGGGGCGUAAGCGCGCGUAGGUGGUUCGUUAAGUUGGAUGUGAAAUCCCCGGGCUCAACCUGGGGACUGCAUUCAAAACUGUCGAGCUAGAGUAU